GCGCCCGUAGCUCAGGUGGAAAGAGCAACGGACUUCUAAUCCGUAGGUCAGAGGUUCAAGUCCUCUCGGGCGUACCA
rnacentral:tRNA from 1 species